UACGUAGGUGGCAAGCGUUGUCCGGAUUUAUUGGGUUUAAAGGGUGCGUAGGCGGUUCCUUAAGUCAGUGGUGAAAUACUUCAGCUCAACUGGAGAGGUGCCAUUGAUACUGGGGAACUUGAGUACUGAUGAGGUAGGCGGAAUGGACGGUGUAGCGGUGAAAUGCUUAGAUAUCGUCCAGAACACCGAUAGCGAAGGCAGCUUACUAAAGAGUAACUGACGCUGAGGCACGAAAGUGUGGGGGAUCAAACAGG
rnacentral:rRNA from 1 species